AUCUCAUCAUCAGGAUAGGCAUGAAUGUACUCCUCGAGAUGUUCCCAUGCUUCAGGAAUUGUCUCAUUAGCUUGCUAUUGGAAGCUGGAAAUCUUUCCACAAAGGGC
rnacentral:snoRNA from 1 species